rnacentral:rRNA from 1 species
AACGAACGCUGGCGGCAUGCCUAACACAUGCAAGUCGAACGAGACCUUCGGGUCUAGUGGCGCACGGGUGCGUAACGCGUGGGAACCUGCCCCUAGGUUCGGAAUAACUCCCCGAAAGGGGUGCUAAUACCGGAUAAUGUCUUCGGACCAAAGAUUUAUCGCCUUUGGAUGGGCCCGCGUUGGAUUAGCUAGUUGGUAGGGUAAAAGCCUACCAAGGCGACGAUCCAUAGCUGGUCUGAGAGGAUGAUCAGCCACACUGGGACUGAGACACGGCCCAGACUCCUACGGGAGGCAGCAGUAGGGAAUAUUGGACAAUGGGCGAAAGCCUGAUCCAGCAAUGCCGCGUGAGUGAUGAAGGCCUUAGGGUUGUAAAGCUCUUUUACCCGGGAUGAUAAUGACAGUACCGGGAGAAUAAGCUCCGGCUAACUCCGUG